ensembl:lncRNA
GCCUUUGGCUCACUGCAUGAAGGUGAUGUCUUAAUAAAGACCAGUAGAGUUACCACUAUUUGAGCAGCAGUUUGUAUGCUGGUAGCAAAAUGGUUUAACUUAGCAAUGUCGUGAGAGAUGAAAUGCAUGAUUAACGUGAAUCCUGAUUGUGGCUUUUACACACCAGCAUAGAGUUAUGAUUCAAUUUUGUAAACAAAAGCUGUCUUAAAUGGCUUCUAAAUAAGUUGGUAACUCACUUGUGUGUGGAACUUUUUUUAAAAAAUGUGGUAAAAUCUCAUGAAGCAACUCUUCUAUCUUCUAAUCCGUGUGUAAUGCAAGGAAAUUGAUGUAUAAUUCCUCACUAGAGGUACAGUUCUUUCUUCUAGUGUCUUCUUGAAAUGAAUCAUUAAUGCUGUCUCUAAAUGAAGCAGAUGCUCAGUUUCCCAGGUGCCUAAAAAUGUUUGAGAAUAUUGUCUGCCUUAUGUAAUCCAUUAAAAAGUUUACACAUUUCUCACUGACUUUCAUUUCAUUUCCUCUCUUUUGGCAUUAUUUAUAGGAAAUUACAGCAGAUACAUACUAAGGAAGUAAGAAUUUUCCAACCCAAAAAUGAGUAACUUGCUAAUAUUUAUUUAUGUUGUAUUUCUAGUCUAAUGCUGUUUUUAAAAAGAGCUUAAAGAGUUCAUUCUUUGAUAAGCUAUAGAGUUUGCUUUAAAGUGUUACUAGCUAUGCCAGCCACAGCAAAAUGAAGAGCGUAACUUGCAAUGUUCACAGAUAAUGUGAUAUCCUAGGACUGGGGUCCCAAACUCAAACAUGUAUUACCUAUAAGAGCCAGGCAAGCAACAGGAGUGAAUGAAGCUGACUGGAUGAAUGACCACAGGGGAUGCUGAGGGCUGUGCCAAAUUGGGGAGCAUAUUCCAGGUAACCACUGGCAUGCGGGCUCACGGGCACAGACCUUCCAGCUCGUCAGGAGGAGCUGAAAAUCCAGGGUUUUAUGUGAAAAUGUCCAAAUUUUUAGUGUUGAUAAUUUUAAAUAAAGGCCAAACAUAUAUCUGAUGACCUGAUUUGGCCAUGGGCUGCCAGUUUGUGAACUUUGCUCAAACAAAAAAUAGAUAGACAUAGGUAGAUAAAAACUUCUCCAGGGUAUUUAUAAAUAUAUUUUAUUUGGCUAGCGUGAAAAUAACUAAAAUCCAGUAGGCUUUUUUAGAUUUCUAAGUGAACCUAUUAAAUAUUUUACUGUGCAAAUCUUAAGGUUUUCUUUAUAUAAUAUUAUUCUUAAGGCCUCACAAAUUAAGUAUCUCUCAAUACAUAGGAGAACAAUGAACCAAGGGAUGACAAAAUGGCUGGGAACCAUUCAAUUAAACUCUAAAAUAUCCACAUUCAGCCAGUAGAUUUGGAAACAUUAUGGGGCAACAAACCCAAAACCAUUGUUCAGGGUUUCAAAUUAAUGCAAUGCCUUCUCCAGGACUCUGAAAACUCCUUCCCUAUGUAACUAUCCUCUCCACCACUGUGGGAGAACAACUAUAGGACAUGUUUGGAGAAAAACAUACCUAAUACUCAGAUUUUCCUUGGAAGGAAUUUCAGAAUCUCAAAAGGGUCAGACCUAUUGUCUAUCUAGCACCAUGUUUGGGCUGUGAAUGAAUCAAGAAUGGCUAUGAAACCAAGGAUGGUUUCCACAUCACUCAGCAUCUCUAGCUUUUCUCACCAACCUGUCAUACAACCAGCAAGCUCAGAUUAAUGCUAUCUAACUGUUUUCUAAGACUGUCAUCACCCUAUUCAAUCCUUUAGUUAAUAUGUUCCAGAACUUUCCCACCUAACUCAAAUCAUGUAAGAGCAAAAUUUUAAAGUUGAAGGGACCCUGAAGAUCAUUUGCUUCAAUCUCUUAAUUUCCAUUUCAUUGCUGUAAAAUGACAGUUUCAAACUUUAAGUGAUGUAGAUUUAUCAUAGAGUUCUAAGAUUCUAGGAAUAAAUUCUGCUUCACCCCAUGUUUAUGUUUCAUUGUUUUUUAAAUAAUAAAAUAUAACCUAAUGUUUCAAAUAUCUUAUCAGCCAUUUUUCUUUCCAGAAUGGAGUCCUAAUUUUUGUGCUCACUUUCUACUUUAUUUAGGAAAUUAUAUUACCUGUUUAAAAAUCCUAAGAGGCCAAUUAGAACCUUCUAAUAGACAUGUGAUCCAACAGACUCCAGAGAAGCUACAUAUGAGGUUUGUGGCUCCUGCUAGACUGUAAAUUACCGCCCUCAAAACCAGCUCUGCAGAAAACUGAAGUGAAAGGGCCUGUGGACUACAGGAAUAAACAAUCCAGUCCUGAGAAAGCCUGUGGAGACCCUCAGGGACCAUCAUUCCUUGCCCCCAAAGGGUGAAAAUCAGUGACAGCAUCCCAGACCACCCAUGCAGCAUCCUUCAAGUAAUGGGGCAGCCCAAAAGUCCUACUGCAAUGAGCUCUUGACAAAAAUAUAUAUGGACAGAGCAGCCUCCCUCAAGCUUCAUUCCUCCACCCCUGCAAACCCCCAGAGCCGCUGGUGAUCAGAGGGUGAUUGCCUCCUCCAGAGGCUGCUCCACUGUAAGGGCUUAAAAGAUAAAUCCUGA